rnacentral:snoRNA from 1 species
CCCAUCCAGGAUGACGAGUUGAUCUCAUACAUCCUCCAUGGCCUCGACGUCGACUACCAGCCACUCGUCUCGACCCUCGACGCCCGUGUCACGCCCGUCACCCUCGACGAGCUCUUUGCCAUGAUGAGUAACUUCGAUC